GUAAAUUAAUAACUCCUAUUAAUAUAUUUUAUAUGGUGGCACAAAAUCGGAAGCCCCGACUGUUUACUAAAAACACAACUAUCUGCAAUUAUGAAAAUAAUAGUAUAGGUAGUGAGAUUUGCCCAAUGCCAUAUUAAUAAGUAAUAAUAAUGGGUAACUGUUUUUUUACAAAAAAUUGGUUAAUAGCGGUCUUAACUAUGAGGAUCCUAAGGUAGCAAAAUAAAUUGGCCAUUAAAUGUGGUCCAGUAUCAAUAAUUUAACGAUGGCUUCACUGUCUCUACAACUUGCUCAGUGAAAUUGAAUUACCCGUGCAGAUGCGGGUUACCUCAAAGAGGACGGGAAGACCCUAUGCAGGUUCUACUAA
rnacentral:rRNA from 1 species